GUGCCAGCAGCCGCGGUAAGACGGAGGGUGCUAGCGUUGUUCGGAAUCACUGGGCGUAAAGGGCGCGCAGGCGGCCAGGUCAGUCGGGCGUGAAAGCCCGGGGCUCAACCCCGGAACGGCGCCCGAGACGGCCUGGCUCGAGACCGGGAGAGGAGGGUGGAAUAGCCAGUGUAGAGGUGAAAUUCGUAGAUAUUGGCUGGAACACCGGUGGCGAAAGCGGCUCUCUGGCCCGGUUCUGACGCUGAGGCGCGAAAGCGUGGGGAGCAAACAGGAUUAGAAACCCUGGUAGUCC
rnacentral:rRNA from 1 species